rnacentral:rRNA from 1 species
CAAUAGCGUAUAUUUAAGUUGUUGCAGUUAAAAAGUUCGUAGUUGGAUUUCGGGUGGGACGCAGCGGUCUCGCAUUGCGUUUGUACUGCUGCAGCCCUCCUUCUUGCCGGGGGCGGCCUCUCGGACUUCACUGUCUGGGGGUCAGAAUCGGCGAUGUUACUUUGAGUAAAUUAGAGUGUUCAAAGCAAGCUUACGCUCUGAAUAUAAUAGCAUGGGAUAACACGACAGGACUCUGGCCUAUCGUGUUGGUCUAUAGGACCAGAGUAAUGAUUAAGAGGGACAGUCGGGGGCAUUCGCAUUCCGUUGUCAGAGGUGAAAUUCUUGGAUUUACGGAAGACGAACAUCUGCGAAAGCAUUUGCCAAGGAUGUUUUCAUUG